rnacentral:rRNA from 1 species
GACGAACGCUGGCGGCGUGCUUAACACAUGCAAGUCGAACGGAAAGGCUCCAGCUUGCUGGAGUACUCGAGUGGCGAACGGGUGAGUAACACGUGGGUAAUCUGCCCUGCACUCUGGGAUAAGCCUGGGAAACUGGGUCUAAUACUGGAUAUGACCUUUCUCCUUAUGGGGUUUGGUGGAAAGUUUUUCGGUGUAGGAUGAGCCCGCGGCCUAUCAGCUUGUUGGUGGGGUGAUGGCCUACCAAGGCGACGACGGGUAGCCGGCCUGAGAGGGUGAUCGGACACAGGGGCACUGAGACACGGCCCAGACUCCUACGGGAGGCAGCAGGGGGGAAUAUUGCACAAGGGGCGGAAGUCUGAUGCCGACGCCGCGUGAGGGAUGACGGCCUUCGGGUUGUAAACCUCUUUCAGCAGGGACGAAGCGUAAGUGACGGUACCUGCAGAAGAAGCACCGGCUAACUACGUG